UGCAGCUGCAUGGUGAGCACAACAGGUUGGCCGGUAUCGGCUACUCCAGCUGCAUGGUGAGCACAACAGGUUGGCCGGUAUCGGCUACUCCAGCUGCAUGGUGAGCACAACAGGUUGGCCGGUAUCGGCUACUCCAGCUGCAUGGUGAGCACAACAGGUUGGCCGGUAUCGGCUACUCCAGCUGCAUGGUGAGCACAACAGGUUGGCCGGUAUCGGCUACUCCAGCUGCAUGGUGAGCACAACAGGUUGGCCGGUAUCGGCUACUCCAGCUGCAUGGUGAGCACAACAGGUUGGCCGGUAUCGGCUACUCCAGCUGCAUGGUGAGCACAACAGGUUGGCCGGUAUCGGCUACUCCAGCUGCAUGGUGAGCACAACAGGUUGGCCGGUAUCGGCUACUCCAGCUGCAUGGUGAGCACAACAGGUUGGCCGGUAUCGGCUACUCCAGCUGCAUGGUGAGCACAACAGGGGUUGGUCCCAAAUGGCACCUUAUUUCAUGCUGUAUGUACAGAUGCCGUACCUGAAAUUGAACCUGCUUCUCACAGCACGAAAAUAAUCCUGCUGCAACAGGAAAUGUCAAUUAUUAUGUGGAUUAUAAUUAAUGGACAUUUAUGUAGGGAAAAUCAGGUCUGAAAUGUUAAAGUGGAAAUUACAAACGUUAGAAGCCUUUUAAAAAUUUUAAUU